AAAAGCUAAUAGUCCACCCACAUGUAAACCUUUGAAUCAAUGUAUACAUGUAGGAAGGUGUAAGAGAAUACGUAGUCCUUCAUGGUUGUGUAAGAAUUUCUACAGAAGUUUAUAAUGUCAUGCGACGCCAUCGAUAGCUUAAGGUUUUGGGUUUCGAUGCUCAGAUUGUCAUAACUCGAAUGUAAUAAAUGUAUGAAUGAUAGAGUAAUUAAAAAUCGACAAAGAUUCAUCAUGAAGCUUAGUAGAGGAAAAAAAAAAGAUUCAUCAUGAAGCAAGACCACUAACAAAUCAUUGCAUAAAAAAUGAGUGUUCCUGUAGCUUAACAAGAGAACCAAUACUGUACAGGCCAAUUGUACCAAAAGAAAUAAAAGUUAUACCAACAAGAAUUGAAAAAUGCUGCAUCAGAUAAAGUUAUUCCAACAAGAAUUGAACAAUGCUGCAUCAGAUGGUAGUACAAAGAGCUAUCUGGAAUGUACAGUAAAAGCCUUUAAGCUCUUUUCUCUGUCUGUCCAGUUUUAUUAGCUAUAAUGGUGUUAUAUCCACGUGUAAAGAACUGAAAUAACAUCUUAUGAUCAAAAGGUCUAAGAGCAAACUAAUUCUCUCAAUUGAACCGAUCCAAGCAAAGGCUUAUAAAUUUUCAUGACAAAGAUGCUACUUGCAGUUUGCUGGUACAGGUAGGGAUGUCAUAUGGAGUGGAAAUGUGAAGCAAACCAAAGAUCAGCUCCUUUCUUUGGGAAGCAUGACAGAGAGGCUAAUGUUAUUGGAAGAGAACCAGAUUGCUUUCCAUUCAGAGGAUGGAUUGAAUGUUGAUGCUGUCAAUGAUUACUCUCACCUUAUUGCGGAGAUGAUUGGUCUGGGAAGUGAUUCAGAGUUUCUUCAAGUCGGUAUCUUCGAGAUGGUAAGCAGUUCUUCGUAGACCAUUCUGGUGCUGUGCCAAUUACUACUGCUCUACGUGAGGAGUUGAGGAAAACAAUUGGUGCACCUUCUUACAUUGAAUGUAGUUUCAAAACACAACAGAACGUGAAAGCAGUCUUUGAUGUGGCUAUCAAGGUCGUGCUCCAGCCACCCUUAAUACAAGAACUAAUGUAAGUCCAAGAAGAAACUGAAUAAGUAUGUUCAUGUGGUAUGUUGGCUCACACUCAACUGAAUAAGUAUGCUUGUGUGGUAUGUUGGCUCACACUCAGGUAUUAAAUCUGAAUGUCAUCCCUCAAGAGAUUAAUCAAAAGUGCAUUGUUUUGCAAUUCAGAUGUAUUGUGCCGUGCCCAAGUCUUCGUAUUGCCUAAGAAAAUAUUAUCCAUGAUUACCAGUGUUUGUAAACUUCCUGCGGACUGGUAGGGGUACUUAAGGAGAACACCGGCAGCUUGAAUACUCUAAGGCUAUGUUGCUCGGACUCUUCAAAAAUGUCAUUGGGUACAUGUCGGAUCCUUCAAAAGUAGUGCAUUUUUGAAGGAUCCGACACGGGUGCGGCCACAUUUUUGGAGAGUCCAAGCAACUUAGCUCUAGGAAACCUAAGUCUACUGGUAGACAAAUAAAUCUACUGAAUAUUUUCCUGUGGAACAAAGCUGCAAUAUGCAAGCUUCUUGGGUUGUGGUUAAGAGAAAAGAAGCACUACCGAUACUCUGACUCAAGAUUCUAUGUGUCAUGUCAAAAUUCUAUUUUUUUCCUCUCCAUAAAUUUCAAGCUUAGCUUAUUGCAAAGAUACUUUGUAUAAAUGUUUGGAACGGUUCUUGUUAUGUGGAUUCAAGUGGUCCAGUUGAAGCAAAACCUUUUCUUGGGUGGCCCUAAAUAUGGUGCAAGAGCUUUCAAUAGUAUGAACCAAUAUGCAUCCACUGUUUUGCAAUGUCAUCGGCACCAUGUUUGCUCAUAUUUUGGACUUCAGAAAUAAUUUACAGGAGAGUUUGAAUGUAUUAACAAGCGAUAAAAGAGUCUUUACAUCUGAUUUUGCGCUUUGUAAUUAAUUAACAGUUUGAAUCUGUCUUUGAUUUUCAGUUCAUACUUUCUUUCUGGUGCCACUACUUCUGCAGGCUAAAGCUAAUGAUGGAUAGGGUCCAGAGCUUUUGAAGAGUUCACAUAAUGGUGGUACUGGUGGUCAUGCGAAGUCCUUAGCUGCAAUUCUUUCCGAACAUAAGCACCACCUUGCAAGUAUACAGGUCCGAUGUUCAGUCUAAUUUGGUAAAAGGAACAAUAUACCUACGAAGAAGAUGAAUGGAGCAGCAGGAGGUAGAGGAGGAGGAGGAUUCAAGGCCAAAUUGGAGCAUGUGUUAUAUAGCGGCGAAAAGAACCACGUCUUAGGUGGCAUGCCGUCAUUGGCGUUCUCUUCGGUGUUCCCUGAUACUUCAUGACCCGAGGCUUGGUUCAGGGAACUCCCAAGUGGGGUGUUGGAUUCUCUUUCUCCUAAGCAGGUAUGCAAUGCUAAUCAGAAGAGGACUGUAGCACUCUCGUGAGACUUCUCCUACCAACGGAAGUUGCUCCGCCGGACUGGGCUAUUAAUCUCAUGGUUGAUGUUGUCCUGGAGUAGUUCUGAUUCUUCACCAGUAAAGUCUAGGACGGUGGUAGUACUAUUGGGAUGGUUAGGUGCAAAGCAAAAGCAUCUAAAGAGAUACGUUGAUUGGUAUUCAUCAAAAGGAUAUCAUGUCAUUAUGUUUACUUUCCCAAUGUCUGAGAUUCUAAGCUAUCAAGUUGGGGGAAAGGGGAAAGAGGAUAUUGUACUGCUUGUGAAUCAUUGUGCUGAUUGGUUGGAAGAAAAGCAUGCGAAGAGCUUGGUCUUCCACACUUCCAUUAAUACUGGAUGGUUCACUUAUGGUCUGCCUCUUUCACAGCUCCGGAACCACAGGUGCACACCGUGUUGGAUAUUGGUUGUGGAUUUGGUAGCUUUGGUGCCUGCCUACUCUCACUGAAGUUGAUAGCUAAAAUACAUGAGGUGUCAUGUGUUGUAAAUAACCAAAUAAUGUAAGGAUCCUUUUUUGAGUAUCUAUGAUAUGAUAAGUAAUAAAUUUAUGUAUUGUUGUAAUAAAAACACUGAAUCUCGUAUAAGAAUGCUCCCAGCUAUACAUGAUAUUAGAACAAAUGUUAGAAAGAGUAGAUUAGAGUAAAAAACCUAGGAAUUAUUUUCAUCGCAUUUUAGAUUCCAAUGGUUGAUCUGUAUAUCAUGUGCAGAUGCACUUGUCGAACCCCAUUUUAUCUUGGGCUUAAUAAGAUGUUAUGCAAGAGACAAGAAUUGAAGCAAAA